CUUCUUUAUAAAAUAUCUUAGAUGUCUUCAAGGCUGGGAUAGUGAUAUGUCAGCUCUUCUGUUGCUGUUGCAUCUCCUGCCUCCUACAUCAAGAGGCCACAAAAAACAGCCAAAGGAAGCUCAGCCCAGGCAGCCAACCAUCCUGUAAGGUGUAUUAAGGAAGGAGCCAGCAUCACUACAUUCCUGGAGAAAGUUGGUGCUAGACAGCCCUUCCUCCUCUGCAUCGGUGAGCAAAAGAAGAACAUCGAAAGAUUCUUAAUCAUUGUGGACCAGAAAGCUGUCCCCUUCAACGCUCGGACAUCGGUGGCUGCUGUUGGUGUGUUAUUCAAAGCUCACUAUGUCUUCAGCAUCUCCUACAACGAAGCUCUUUCCAGUUUCUACACCCUCAUUCAAACCACGGUGUACAACAUCGAUGUACUUUGAUGACCAUUUCCAUGCAUAUUGUAUAGAGGAGCAAAGAAGCGAACGUGUUCUGAUUGGUCUUGACGAACUGCCAUAUGUUAGAUCUUUUGAUAAACUACUCUAAUGAGAGUGACAGAGCAUACAUUGUUCCAUAUUGUUGUAUGUUUUGAAAAGCAUUGUAAAAUGUGUAUGUGAUGCACUGGUUUUAAAAUAAAUAUAUUUUAAAACUA